rfam:Dictyocaulus viviparus strain HannoverDv2000 D_viviparus-1.0_Cont118.2, whole genome shotgun sequence.
GCCUGGGUAGUGUAAUGGAUCAGCACGGUAGACCGGAUAUCUGUAAGUGCGGGUUCGAGUCCCGCCUGAGGUU